AGCCAAGUUUGGGUAAGUGACGCAGUAUCCUAGUCAGAAACCCCUUUUGCGAAGGCGGGCCUAAAAAUCCGCUAAGGGCACAUCGAUGAAGUUCCUGGUGCCGGCUGCCGACGCCCAGUCGGGGGCUGGUGCUGGGGGUUAAGGGGAUGGGGCGAGCUGCAACGGCAUGCAGGCGUUGACCCCGUCCCCGCGGAGACCCAAGUGCGUGGGGAGCGCGGCGAACUACGGCUUGGGGUGUAAACCUGUACGUGGGGAGAAGCUGCGUGCAGUGUAGCCUGCCUUGAGUGGUCAUGGUGGAUGCCGCCGAAUGCGCCCCUGGACGCGGGGGCCCCUGCCGAUGGGGUGCAGGUUGAAACCAUGACUGCAAAAGAGGCUAGGGAAGGGGUCUUCUGUCGGGGAAAGCUCCUAGGCUGUCCGAAAGGGGCGGGCUGGGGAUUGCAGUGUAGUCUGAGUGGUAAUCCAGUACCGGUGCCGGCAACGGUCCGGGGACGGCCUUAAAGGGAAACCGCCCGUUCGGCGACGGCGGGUGGCGGUUCGGGAAAACCUGCUGGACCUAAGCUACAAUAUUUAUCCAACCCGCUGUCACUUACCCCUGAGUUAUU
rnacentral:sRNA from 1 species